CUACAUUUAAUAUUGAUUAAUACCGCACACACGUUGCAAGACUGCAAAGUCAGAUGAGUGCCUACCCAUCCCGAAAGAGACUAUAAAAAAGAAGUGUCAGGGCCUCUCUUGACCUAACUCCACAUCUGCCGCUCCAUCGAAAGCAAGAAUGAAGUAUGCUGUGGUCUUUGCUGUAAUGUUGCUUGUGGCAAUCACAGCUGAACCCGGGGAAUGCGGCUUAAGAAAAUAUCUUUCUGGUGUCAAACGCAAAAUAAAAAAUGCUAAUUGUCAACGUACCUUGACCAAGAUGAACAAAAGCUGUGCAAUUUUCCUUCAAGAAAACGGCUAUCAAGAAUGCUUGAAUAGCCCCAAGACUGUGGACCAGACUGCCGAGUCCCCCCCCCCCCCCUGAGGAGGAUCCAGUGUUUAUGGUCUAGUGGCUGAUUAACCGGCCUCUGUUGUUGGUGACCGGGAGGGACAGGGAUUCACAUGUACUCAGUUUUCACGCCUGCUUAACCUCUUCAAUAUUAUUAAUUUGUAUUGUUAAAUAUCUUUUUUUACAGCAGGCCUACUGUAUAUGAAAACUAAGAUUUUUUUUUUAAUAAAUGUUACAGCAACUGGUACAGCAGAGAAAAGUCAAA